GACGAACGCUGGCGGCGUGCCUAAUACAUGCAAGUUGAGCGCUGAAGGUUGGUACUUGUACCCACUGGAUGAGCAGCGAACGGGUGAGUAACGCGUGGGGAAUCUGCCUUUGAGCGGGGGACAACAUUUGGAAACGAAUGCUAAUACCGCAUAAAAACUUUAAACACAAGUUUUAAGUUUGAAAGAUGCAAUUGCAUCACUCAAAGAUGAUCCCGCGUUGUAUUAGCUAGUUGGUGAGGUAAAGGCUCACCAAGGCGAUGAUACAUAGCCGACCUGAGAGGGUGAUCGGCCACAUUGGGACUGAGACACGGCCCAAACUCCUACGGGAGGCAGCAGUAGGGAAUCUUCGGCAAUAGACGAAAGUCUGACCGAGCAACGCCGCGUGAGUGAAGAAGGUUUUCGGAUCGUAAAACUCUGUUGGUAGAGAAGAACGUUGGUGAGAGUGGAAAGCUCAUCAAGUGACGGUAACUACACAGAAAGGGACGGCUAACUACGUG
rnacentral:rRNA from 1 species